AGAAGACUACAGGAUUCCCUCAGUAACGGCGAGUGAAGCGGGAACAGCUCAAAUUUGAAAUCUCCUUUUGGCGAAUUGUAGUUUAGAGAAACGUUUUCUUCUUGGACGGCAGGUACAAGUUCUUUGGAACAAGACAUCAUAGAGGGUGAAAAUCCCGUCUUUGACCUGCCCGAAGGGAUCUGUGAUACGUUUUCCAAGAGUCGGUUUGUUUGGGAAUGCAGACCAAAAUGGGUGGUAAAUACCAUCUAAAGCUAAAUAUUGGCGAGAGACCGAUAGCGAACAAGUACCGUGAGGGAAAGAUGAAAAGAACUUUGAAAAGAGAGUUAAACAGUACGUGAAAUUGUCAAAAGGGAAACGUUUGAAACCAGUAUUGCGUGCGGGAACUCAGCUGUCACUUGUGGCAGUGUACUUUCUCGCAUGCGAGUCAACAUCAGUUUGGCUCGGGGCAAAAAGCUCUGGCAAUGUAGCCUUCGGGUGUUAUAGGCCAGAGUCAUACCCUGGGCCGGACUGAGGACUGCAGCGUUUUUGGCUUCGGCACACCAGCGCUUAGGAUGUUGACGAAAUGGUUUUAAGCGACCCGUCUUGAAACACGGACCAAGGAGUCUAACAUAUAUGCGAGUAUUUGGGUGUCAAACCCUUAUGCGUAAUGAAAGUGAAAGGGUGGGAUCCCUCGGGGUGCACCAUCGACCGCGCCAGAUUAUUACUAUCUCGGUGUGAGUAUGAGCAUACAUGCUGGGACCCGAAAGAUGGUGAACUAUGCCUGAAUAGGGUGAAGCCAGAGGAAACUCUGGUGGAGGCUCGUAGCGGUUCUGACGUGCAAAUCGAUCGUCAAAUUUGGGUAUAGGGGCGAAAGACUAUCAACCUC
rnacentral:rRNA from 1 species